rnacentral:rRNA from 1 species
CGUUCCCGGGCCUUGUACACACCGCCCGUCACACCACGAAAGUCGGCAAUACCCGAAGCCGGUGGCCUAACCCGCAAGGGAGGGAGCCGUCGAAGGUAGGGUUGAUGAAUGGGGUG